ACGCAAUGUUCUAAAAUGGAUUGUGGUCAUGGGUGCACAAUUCAGGGAGGAUACUAAAAAGCAGUUGAAUGGAGUGCUCCGUGGAUGAACUGCACGGCAUUGUGUCAGGUCAGCUUGAGGAAUGAAUAUAUGUUUCGGGGAAGAAGGUCCCAUUACUGAACUGGCUUUGUCAUAAAAGCCUCUCAUGGCUACAGGUGCCAAUGUGACUCAUGACUGCAGAGGUAAACCUUGAACACCUCACUGAGGACGUUGGUUUCCUUGUUGUAAAACUGCUCAUUUUUCACACACUUGGAAGAAAGCCAUUAGCUACAGGCCACACUUCCAGAAAAUAACCAGGUGACUUGAAAUCAGCAUGGUGGGAGG
rnacentral:lncRNA from 1 species